rnacentral:rRNA from 1 species
UACGAGGGGGGCAAGCGUUGUUCGGAAUUAUUGGGCGUAAAGGGCGCGUAGGCGGUGCGGUAAGUCUGAUGUGAAAUCUCCGGGCUCAACUCGGAGUCUGCACAGGAAACUAUCUGGCUUGAGUGUGGGAGAGGUGAGUGGAAUUCCUGGUGUAGCGGUGAAAUGCGUAGAUAUCAGGAGGAACACCUGUGGCGAAAGCGGCUCACUGGACCACAACUGACGCUGAGGCGCGAAAGCUAGGGGAGCAAACAGG